rnacentral:rRNA from 1 species
UCUAGUGAUGAUGGCAAGGAGGGCACACCUGUUCCCAUGCCGAACACAGAAGUUAAGCAUUUCAGCGUCGACGAUAGUCUUAAGGGGCGAAAAUAGAACGUUGCCAGGC